GGCACUAUAGCCAAGUGGUUAAGGCGACAGAUUAGAAUGAUGUGAUGGUUCGUCUCAUAAUAAUCUGUUACUCUCUGAGUGCGCAGGUUCAAAUCCUGCUGGUGUCG